ensembl:rRNA
CAUCGCGAGGACCGGAGAGUGAUGUUGAUGCGAUGUGAUUUCUGCCCAAUGCUCUGAAUGUCAAAGUGACGAAAUUCAAUGAAGCGCGGGUAAAUGGCAGGAGUAAUUAGGAACAGUUAUAUCCCAACCAAGGCCGAGUUCUGGGCUCGGCUGGGCAAACACAGUUGGCUUCUGUGUUAAAUAAGAUGAAACUUAUGGAAUUGACGGAAACCAAUGACCUAUAGGUCCCAAAACCCUUGUGGUAACGAGUGAUACCAGUAACCAGAAUGGCCGUUUGUAAUUCUGGUUACGAAAAAUCAGGACACCGCUAGGUGACCAUUGCCCCAUUCGUAGCUCAGCGAGUGGGACAGUCACAUCCUUUAUGAGACAGGCUUGGUUCAGCCAGGUCAAGGGACACUGUUCUCGGUGGUCCCACUCCUCGGGCUCGUCAAAUCAGACCCUUUACCCAAUCUUGUGGGUAGACGUUGUUGACCGAUGAUCAGAAUUAUGAUCAGACCUUAGCCCAAGUCAAUAACGAAGGGAGACAACCGUAGGUAAAUCUGGUUGGGCGAUGGUAGAGCAUGUGGUGGACAGAGGAGACACACGGCAUGGACUACAGCCCGUCAGCCUCAUCGGAGCCCUUCUGAGAUGCAUCCGUGGCCUUCUCUAAGGAGCAAUGGCCAAGGGCCUAACCAACCGUAGCUCCAGGGCAUUAAUAUGGUGGCGGCCUGAUCAUUUAAGAUCACUCCUUUUCUUUCCUCUUCCUUUAUAAUUAUUAUCCUACCUACAGAGCGUAUCACACUUAAUGCUGGUGAUACCUCAAGGUUCUGUGGAUCAUACCUGGUGAUCCCAGAGUCAGGGCCCAGGCAAUGUUCGUAAUGCGUCACACACAUAAUGCUGGUGUGACCUCAAUAACACCUCUGUGUUUCCUGCCCAUGAUUCACAGUUGUAAGGUCUGGGUGGCAAUGAGAGUUACCUAUUAUCAAUGCAAGAUUAUCCAACUUGGUAAAUCAAUAGCGAUCUACACGUAUUGCUGGUGGAUCCUACUUGAUAAACCAAUCACCUCUGUGAAUAUGCCCAGGAUUUGCAGUUGUAAGGACUGGGUGGUUAAGGGCGAUACCGUCAUGUACCUAGAGAGGCACACACAUGGAUGUGGUCCUCCAGGGUACCCAAUUGAUGCUGAGCGAUUCACACUUAAUGCUGGUGGAUCCUCUUUACUCCUCUGUGGUUUCAACCCAGGGAUCACAGUGGUAAAGGCUGGGUUGAAACAACGUUCCUGAAAUGAAGACCUGACUCAUUUAUUGAACCACACAUCGAUGUGGUAGCAUCAAGAAUACAAGAAUUUAAUGGGAACCCACACUUGGCUGUGGAUACCAUCAUUCAGAAUAUAAUAAAACUUAAAUAAAAUGACUUUGAUAACACUUCCUAUCUUUGUGAUGUCUUUUUAACAGGAGCGUAUCACACGUAUUGCUGGUGGACCUCCCAUACACCUCUAUGCUUCUUACCAGAAAAGCAUAGUUGUAAGGUCGGGUUGAAAAGAGAUUUCCCCAUAUAGUUCUUGAGAGACAAUCACACAUGGACGUGAUACACCGAAAUACUCCUUGAACACAAUGAGAACCCACACGUGGAUGUGGCUACCAUCUUCUGCAACAAUUUAAUAAAAAUAAAAUUUAAAACAUUUAUGGCUUAUGGUGUCUGCUUACCAGGAGCGUCUCACACUUAAUGCUGGUGGACCUCCAUCAACCUCUAUGUUCCUACCCGAAGAACACAGUUGUAUGGUUCGGGUUGAGAGAAUUUCCCUACUAGUUCCUGAGAGAUAAUUACACAUGGAUGUAAUGUCUCAAAUACCCUCCUUUACCUCAGCCCAGGAGGUCUAGGUUGUAAAAAUGGGUACAAAAGUGGUCUGGUUGGACUUGUCCCUAGAACACUUAAUAGAUCUAGGCUAGCUCGUAAAUCUCGUAUGAGCACCAGCCACAUAAGAUCAACAUUAAACACUUCGUACAUGCCCAAUCCUGUUAAUAAUGUUACAAUAUAAGAUGUAUAGUAAUAUGAUGAGUUAAUAUUAAUAAUGGUUACAUAUACAAUAUGUAUUCUAAUCUAUUUGUACUCUUCUCUUAUUUUAGAAUGGAGACUAAUACUUCGAACAUGUCCAACGUGAAUACCUUGACAAUUAACAUCCCAGAAGACACUUACUAUUGUCUUGUAUGUGGAGAUAUGGUAGCCUCCUUGCAAAGGCUUAUCAGACACUUCAAAAUCAAACACCACGAUGCCAAAGUCAUCUUCCGAUGCAUAAAAUGCUCAAAAACGAGCUAUAAUCACCAUACUAUUGCCUGCCAUCAGGCCAAAUGCAAAACAGGCAAAAGACAUCUUAAAACAAAACGCCUCACAUGUCCGACCUGUGGUGACCAAUUUAAUAACAAUAGAGGCCUGGGUCAACACAUAAGACACCGUCACCUUGAAAGUGACACGGCCAUCACUGAAGACGUGGAACAAGGUGUAGUUGAAUCCAAUGUUGAGGAUGAUGAACUUGCCCUAUUCAUCUCAUCGCUGGAGGUGGUAGAAAUCAAUACAACUCUACCAAUGCUCCGGCAGACUCUAAUCUUUGAUAACGGCUUGGAACUCAACUUAGCCGAACUAUGGAAAGAAAAUUUUGAGAACCCCACUGAUAAAGAGAUUUGGUUGGAGGACACCACCAAUCUCCUUCUUAAAGAACUUCUGAACAAAGUGAAAGACAAGAAGACAGAGGCACCAAAACAUAGUAUGCCCUCUACUAAACAGGUGCCCAAAAGAAUUAUUAAGAAAUACCGCUACAAAAGGGCACAGACACUAUAUAAAAGGGAUAGAGCACACUGAGCAUCGGAGAUCCUGGAUGGCAUCACCAGAAAGAAGUGCGAAAUCCCAUUAAAUAAAAUUUUCGAACACUUUAACGGAGUAUGGGGAUCACACAGUGAGAUUACUUCUAGCUCUAUUUACAUUCCUGCUCACUGUGUAGAUAACUCUGUGUUUACUGCACCUAUUUCAACAACCAAAGUGCAAGCCGCCAUCAAACACAUAAAAUCUGACUCCGCGGCCGGUCCCGAUGGUCCCGACUGAUAUUAUAUCUCUAGUUAAUGGGAACAUAACAUUAGCCAAAACUUACAACCUAUGGCUUCUGGCAGGAGCUAUUCCCGGGUCUUUCAAAAAGGCCAGGACUGUACUUCUGCCCAAAUCUCUCGAUAGUCAAAAACUCUCUAACAUCAAUAAUUGGAGACCCAUUACUAUUGGGUCUCUCAUCACAAGAUUAUUUUCCAAAAUCCCCUAUACAAGACUAAAGUACAGGAUAUCAUUAAACCCCAGGCAGAGGGGGUUCAUGGAGACGGCAGGAUGUACUGAGAAUAUCCAAACGCUCCAAGCUAUAAUUACAGCCCAUAAGCACAUCAAAAAUCGCUGGGAAUGGUGUUCAUCGAUUUCGAGAAGGCCUUCGACACCGUAUCCCAUGCAUACCUAUUUAAAAUUUUGAGGAUAAUGAGACUUGAUGCUCAUAUUUCCCAACUAUUCAGGGACAUGUAUUCCGGUGCUUCCACCUGUGUGGAAAACUAUGAGAGUAACACCAAUGACAUCACUCUAAUGAGGGGAGUCAAACAAGGAGAUGCCCUCUCCCCUCUAUUUUUCAAUAUUGCAAUUGAUCCAUUGAUCCACAAACUAGAGACAGACGGUUGUGGUACCAUGCUGGGGGGAGCCACUACUACGGCAAUGGCCUUUGCCGAUGACCUUGUCAUUGUAAGCAACACCUGGGGCAGUAUGAAAACCAACCUAAAUAUACUUAAAGAAUUUUGUAGAGGAUCUGGCCUCAAACUGCAGCCAGCCAAAUGCAAGGUUUUCUUUUUCACAUGGAAGAACCGCAAGAUGGUGGUCAAAAAGACCAACCUAUGGAAGCUAGAAGGGGUUAAGAUGAAAAGGAUUUCCUCCAAAAUCCCUAUGACAUACUUGGGCAUAAACGUUGAACCAAGGAAAGGUAUCUACAUGGAGGAUCCCUUGAAUGAACUAGAAAAAUGGAGCAAUCUUAUUGGCAAAGCUCCUUUGAAGCCCUAUCAAAAGAUCAAUAUCUUCAACCAAUAUGCCAUUCCCCGUCUUUUAUGUUCCCUGCUCAACACAAAAUUUUGUCUUAUGACAAUCAAGAAACUGGAUGUGCAUAUAAGGAAGACAAUUAAAAUGUGGUUGCACCUACCACAAUGCACUACCAAUGGGAUAAUAUAAUCUAAAAGAGCCAAAGGAGGGUUGAGCGUCCUCAAGUUGGAGGCCAAUGUGCUCAAAUCCUCCUUCAAGACAUUAGGAAGAAUUGCACUAGCUGAGGACCCUAUCCUUCAGGAAACAUGCAUCCAAAACAAAACUUUGGGACAAUUAAAUAACUUAUGGAAACUCAUGGGUGGUAACCCCAAUAACUUUCCAAAUGAAAACAUCUUGUUUAAUAUAUGCAACAAUCAAUUGCCAAACGAUGUCCCAGCCAAGCUCCGUGACUGGCGACAAGCCGAAUUUGAGAGUUGGAAAAAGCUCCCUGUCCGAGGGUUAGGUAUAGAACUUUGUGAAAAAUGAUAAAGUGAGCAACUGCUGGUUGCACACUCAUAACUGGAUGAGCCAAGGACAAUACAUUGCCGCCAUCCAAACAAGAGCAAAUGUAUUUCCAACCAAGGAAACCACCUCCAGAGGCAGACAGGAGCCCUCAAAUUGUAGGAAAUGCUCAAUUGCAACAGAGUCCCUAUCUCACAUUCUGGGCCAAUGUCCGGUAAUGCAAAAAGAAAGGAUUGCCAGACACCAUAAAUUAUGCAAAUUGCUGAUGAAAGAAUGUGAGGCACACAAAUGGACUGUCCAUAAAGAACAAUCUAUUAAAUUGAACAAUGGGAGGUCCCUCCGACCUGACUUGAUUUUGAUCAAGAAUAACAAUGCCAUUAUCAUUGAUCUCACCGUAAGAUUUGAAUUCAAUUUAGAAGAAGCUCUAAGAGCUAAGUUCUCUAAAGAACACAAGUACGAAAGCAUCUCCUCUU